rnacentral:rRNA from 1 species
GACGAACGCUGGCGGCGUGCUUAACACAUGCAAGUCGAACGCUGAAGCUCAGCUUUUGUUGGGUGGAUGAGUGGCGAACGGGUGAGUAACACGUGAGUAACCUGCCCCCUUCUUUGGGAUAACGCCCGGAAACGGGUGCUAAUACUGGAUAUUCACUGGUCUUCGCAUGGGGGUUGGUGGAAAGGGUUUUUCUGGUGGGGGAUGGGCUCGCGGCCUAUCAGCUUGUUGGUGGGGUGAUGGCCUACCAAGGCUUUGACGGGUAGCCGGCCUGAGAGGGUGACCGGUCACAUUGGGACUGAGAUACGGCCCAGACUCCUACGGGAGGCAGCAGUGGGGAAUAUUGCACAAUGGGCGCAAGCCUGAUGCAGCGACGCGGCGUGAGGGAUGGAGGCCUUCGGGUUGUGAACCUCUUUCGCUCAUGGUCAAGCCGCAACAAUGGUUGUGGUGAGGGUAGUGGGUAAAGAAGCGCCGGCUAACUACGUG